rnacentral:rRNA from 1 species
CAGUCGCCGCGGGAAUACGAAGGGGGCUAGCGUUGUUCGGAUUUACUGGGCGUAAAGCGCACGUAGGCGGACUUUUAAGUCAGGGGUGAAAUCCCGGGGCUCAACCCCGGAACUGCCUUUGAUACUGGAAGUCUUGAGUAUGGUAGAGGUGAGUGGAAUUCCGAGUGUAGAGGUGAAAUUCGUAGAUAUUCGGAGGAACACCAGUGGCGAAGGCGGCUCACUGGACCAUUACUGACGCUGAGGUGCGAAAGCGUGGGGAGCAAACAGGAUUAGAUACCCGCGUAGUCCCUGUCUCUUAUAC